rnacentral:rRNA from 1 species
UACGGAGGGUGCAAGCGUUAUCCGGAUUCACUGGGUUUAAAGGGUGCGUAGGUGGGUUGAUAAGUCAGUGGUGAAAUCCCCGAGCUUAACUUGGGAACUGCCAUUGAUACUAUUGAUCUUGAAUACCGUGGAGGUCAGCGGAAUAUGUCAUGUAGCGGUGAAAUGCUUAGAUAUGACAUAGAACACCAAUUGCGCAGGCAGCUUACUACACAGUAAUUGACACUGAGGCACGAAAGCGUGGGGAUCAAACAGG